GCCACAUCUGCAUUUGUAUAGCCUUCUAUUUUUAGGUGGCCAUAUUUAGAAACAAUUCUUUUUCUAGAGCAGAUAUUAGGUAUCUCAAAGUUCGAAGGACAACAUCUAAAUGUGAAUCUCGAGGAUUAUACAUAAAUUGACUAAAUACAUAUACAACAUGGACUAUAUUUUGGUCUAGUCUAAGAAAGGUAAAUCAACUUUGGUCUAGUCUAAGAAAGGUAAAUCAACUUUGGUCUAGUCUAAGAAAGGUAAAUCAAC
rnacentral:misc_RNA from 1 species